rnacentral:sRNA from 1 species
GCCGUGUUACUAUAACAAUGUACUUUUUGAAUGGUCAAGGGUUCGAUUGUUCGUUAGAAUAUCUCCUUUUGCACCAAACAAGAAAUGCACACAUUAUUUUAAAACGCACUAGUUAGGUGCAAGGAGGAUUUUUCUAAUGGAAAAUGGUACUGUAAAGUGGUUCAACGCUGAAAAAGGUUACGGUUUUAUUACUCGUCAGGACGGCAGUGACGUAUUCGUUCACUUUUCCGCUAUCCAGGGCGACGGCUACAAAACCCUUGAAGAAGGCCAAGCCGUAACUUUCGAAGUUGAAAACAGCGAUCGUGGUCCUCAGGCGGUUAACGUCAACAAGGACUAGUUCAUUGUUAAAAAGUCGUCCGGUUCGCCGGGCGGCUUUUUU